rnacentral:rRNA from 1 species
UAAGGUACGGGCCUACCGAAGGCGAUGAUGCAUAGCCCGAGUUGAGAGACUGAUCGGGCCACAUUGGGGACUGAGACACGGGCCCAAAACUCCGUACGGGGAGGCAGCAGUAGGGAAUCUUCCACAAUGGACGCAAGUCUGAUGGAGCAACGCCGCGUGAGUGAAGUAAGGGUUUCGGCUACGUAAAGCUCUGUUGUUGGUGAAGAAGGACGAGGGGUAGUAACUGACCUUUGUUUGACGGUAAUCAAUUAGAAGUCACGGCUAACUACGUGCCAGCAGCCGCGGUAAU